AUUGAACGCUGGCGGCAGGCCUAACACAUGCAAGUCGAGCGGAUGAAGGGAGCUUGCUCCUGGAUUCAGCGGCGGACGGGUGAGUAAUGCCUAGGAAUCUGCCUGGUAGUGGGGGAUAACGUCCGGAAACGGGCGCUAAUACCGCAUACGUCCUGAGGGAGAAAGUGGGGGAUCUUCGGACCUCACGCGAUCAGAUGAGCCUAGGUCGGAUUAGCUAGUUGGUGGGGUAAAGGCCUACCAAGGCGACGAUCCGUAACUGGUCUGAGAGGAUGAUCAGUCACACUGGAACUGAGACACGGUCCAGACUCCUACGGGAGGCAGCAGUGGGGAAUAUUGGACAAUGGGCGAAAGCCUGAUCCAGCCAUGCCGCAUGUGUGAAGAAGGUCUUCGGAUUGUAAAGCACUUUAAGUUGGGAGGAAGGGCAGUAAGUUAAUACCUUGCUGUUUUGACGUUACCAACAGAAUAAGCACCGGCUAACUUCGUG
rnacentral:rRNA from 1 species